GCCGCCGGCUUGUCCCAGUCCCGUCUCGUUUCCCGUACCACUCCCCUCUCACUCUCUCUCCGCCGCUUUCCAAUGCCGGCGAUGCUGCAGUAAAUCCUCCGGCGAAGGCGGCCGCGGCCCUGCUCGGUCGAUCCCUCCCACCCCAUGUCCAAGGUUUGAGCAGCUGGUGGCUGCUCCACCUUCCCGGCGUCUCACCGGCAGGCGGUCGUGCCAACAUUUCGUUCGAACCAUCAUGCUCGAUUCGCCUCCUCCCGCGACGCCAGCAUGUGUUGAGAGGAGGUUGGUAGGAGAAAAUGCAAGUCUGCAAAAUAUGCACAGAGAGGGACAGGAGGCUGGGAUAAGGAAGCGGCUCCGAGAAGUCAAUUUUUUGCCAUCUUGGUACUCACAAUCAUGGGUAUCUAUGGUGCUCUUGAUGGGCUCCCAGCCUCAGGCUCCACGCUUCCCUUAGUGUUGAAUGGAUAUUGCAAAACUAACAGGUUGAUGGAUCUUGGGGCGUCAACGAAUUUGGCUUAUCAGACAAAAAGACUAUUCUCCUGUCCACAUCAGGGGCGGAGCCAGAAAAUUUGGCCAAUGGGUUCACUUGUUAGCUCAUUGUGAGGACUGGGUAAAGUCAUUGUAACAAAUAGAGAUAUGCUACUCACUCUGAGCCAUAUUAAUUUUGAGAGUACCUAACCAUAUUAAUUGACGCUGGUUUAGUACUCAUUGAAGAGUGCAAGACGUACCAGUUUGAUGAAAUUAUAAAGUCACUUGUUUAAAUUUUAUAAAUAGAGUCACGAAUAUAGCUCCCUAGCUUUAGGACCAACUUCUCAACUUCCAGAAAAGAUUAAAAAAAACACAUUAGUUUGACAAGUUUCAAGUAAACUACCAUGAAGUGAAAGCUGCAUGUAAAUUUACUCACAUUUCAGAGUGCACCCUUCGGAUCUUUCAUCAUCUGAAAAAAAUAGUUUAUCUAUGCAUAAAAGGCUUUGGGAGAUCAUAUAAAUUAAUUCCUCAGAAUAGAAGGUUUGGGGGAUUAAUCAACAGAAUUUAACACACCUACAUCUGGUGGGUAGGCUUGAAGUCCUUAUACAUCAUUAUCUGAAUCCGAUGAUGAUCAAUUUCUAUUUGAUAAAUAUUCGCACCAUAGCCUAGGUCAAUCAAAGUUCAGAUGAAAUAUAGUUAGAAAACUAGGGCAAAGGUUAAUUUCGUGCUAGGAUAAGACCUGCACAAGAAGGACGAUGUGGUCUCAUUACCUUCAGUUUGGAUUUCAAUUGCCGGUCGCUGCUGACGGCUGACCUGGUGUUCUCAGCUAGUCGGCUUGCCGCUGGCCGUCGGCGAUCCGGCGCCGCCAUGCGCGAACAUAGAGACGAGAGACCAAGAGACGAUGUAAAUCGGGGAAACGUACUGCGGAAACGAGAGGCGCG